CCAAUCGGGAGAGACGCUGGUUGGAGCUGGAGACCGAACAGUUGACGGCUGGUUUGUGCUUUGUCAGUGUCCGAUUCGGAUUGGAAAGCGACAGGUUUUUGAGUGUUGAUGUAGAGGUGUUUAUCCAACACUGCGCUGUGACUGGAGCAGAGAUGGAUGGAUGGAAAUGUAAGGGGGUUAGGACUUGAGGAGGAUGUGAUGGAGUGUAGCGAUGGAGGGGGGAAAGUUGGAGGAAGAGUAGUGCGAGUAGAUAUGAAGAAGCGGAAGACUGAGGAUCUUUUGCCGGUCUAGUCAGGGGAGAGUGGUAACGAAGGAGGUUCCGAUCAGUGUUUUAUGGAGAGAAGUGGAGUUCAAUGGGUUGGUUAAGUUUAAGGACAAGAGUGGAGUAAUGGCGGUGAGUCUGAUCGAAUUGGCUCGUGAUUUGUAUAGUAAAGUAGGAGAGGUUGUGUCUGCUAAAAGUCUUUGUGUUGGAAGUUUGGUGGUAGUGUGUAUUGAUGCUAAACAGCAUGAGAAGGCUCUCAAACUCAAGCAGGUAUGUAAACGUGAGGUUGAUAGUAGCAUACCGGAUCAAACCGGGCGGUAGUGGCUGACAGGAAUUAUUUUACCAGAGUCCCAGAAAUAGUUAACAUAAAAUAAAUAAAGAAUCACUUGAAGGGAGGCUCUCUUAUUGAUGCAAAGUGCCUCCAGAUGACACAAGAAGGGAAGGUGGAUAGCCUGUCAGAGAUACUAAACUUUGAGGAUCCGGUACUGGCAGAAAAAGUUCAGAUGUGCAAGCUUAUGUUCCCGAAACCAUUGCGUUGAUAUAACUGUUAAAGGUUUGGGUAUGUGGCGUUUAAAGGGAAAACGAGAUUUGUGAAGUGUGGGGUCGAACAUGAAUGUGGAGAUCCAGUUAAACUGCUGUGAUGAAAAGACAAGUAGAAGUGCAGCAGGUGAGGAAUGAGCGUAAAAUCUCAUAUGCAGAAGCAGUAAAGGUUGUAAACGCAGAGCACCUAGAAGAGCAGGUAUUCCAGGACAGAUUGGGAUGCAGGUUGGGCGUGAUGUAGUGAGAAGAAUGGGAGAGAACACACGACUGGUAGACAUGAAUAAGGUUGUUACAUGUGCACGAAACCCACACACAUAAACAGUAACAAACAUUAAUCGCGAACAUCGUAACUGGACAUCUUUCUUGCCGAAGAUUGAGGCCAACUUUUGUAUGCUAGCAACAUACUGUUUGAAUUUACACUCCUUUACAGUUUUAGUGGACGAGAAAAUAGGUCUAUAUGUAAUGGGUGUCUAUUUUUUUUGAAGUAUUGGUGGUGAUUGAGCAACAGAAACAGCAAGAAAAGACUGACAACUUAUUAAUAUGCAAAACCCAUAUUUCAAUAAUGUUGUGAUUGAACAACAACAACUGCAUUCCCAUCCCCCACCUCUAAAGGCUCUAAAGGCAUAGUCACGUCAUAGUCAGUCAUCAAGGCAGGUCACCUGUCAAGACAGUCAGUCAGUAAUUGCGGCAGAUGUGCUCAAUAGUCCCCAAGCGUGGCGUUAACACACAGGGUGUGUCACAAGCUAAACACAUGUACACAUGAACAUCCUCUGCUUCCUUCUCCUGACGCUGGACAAGCAGACUAUGCAGUGCCUCCUUGUGCGACUGCCUUGAGCAGCAGUUUGAGGGUCUUCGGAGGGAAAAUGCAGUGCCGUGAGGCAUAUCAGCAGGACACCCGCCAGUGGAUGGACACAGAAGUGUGUGGUGCUCGUUCAGCGGCUCUCUCAUGAGGUUCUCUCUAUACUUUUGUCAAGCACGGUUUGCUCUUUCUCCCGUCUGGUGGUCCACCUUUCCUGUGGCAACAUGGUCAGUGGAGAGGACAUGUACAAAUACAGCUGUUGACGGUUCUCCUUGAACUCCCCCUCUGCAUCUUCCUGCUUCUGAAUGCCUGCAUCCCUUUCCUGUUCGAACAGUCUGUGCCAAAGGCCCCUGUGCUGUUCGAGAGCAGAUGCUGGAAGUGUGUGGGACUGCUGUACCAAUUGUGUGGCCCUUCCCGAGAUGAGGAGCCAGCAUGGUGAUCAGCACGAACCCAUAAUAUUAGAUGUCAGUGUUGGACCCUGUGUACUUCACCCACUGUUGGUCUGCCUCCAUCACCACCAGCAUCUUCAGAGUGACCUGGUACUUCGUUGGUGUGCAAGGGGUCCUCAGACUCAGGGUUCUCAAUGACCACAAGGUUGGGGGCAGCUCCUCACUGAUUCCUGACUUUCCGACUCAGAAUUUACGAAAAUCUCUAGAAUGUUUUGCUUUUGAAAGACAUUGCUAAUGCUACAGCUUAGCCCACUAGCUACAUACAUAAACAACAACACUGAAUUUCUCUGAGUGACUGUCAGAGGUUACUUGAUUGACUGCCGGCACACGCCAAUUGUAUGAAUAAAUCAA